UGCGCUAGAUCCCGUCCCACGUGGACACUGGGCGGGCGCGCGCACACUACGGCAUCUGUCCCCGUGGCGUACCCAUCAGGCCUCCUUGCGAAGACAUGACCUUGACCUGACGUACAGCAAGACACGGAAAAUAACUUAGGAGAAGUCCUAACUGAAGGCCCCCUUUACUACCUAUACAAUUUCAUGCAAAAAUACUGUGAAGAUAUUAUAUGAACUGUUACUUAUGAAGUAUUUAAAGUAAGAAGUUACUUGUAGUAGUGAGAAAAAAUAUGUAAUAAGUUCAACUUUAAAAACCAACUAAGAUGAUAUUAAGAGAGAAUUUUAGUUGAAAUUUUAAGCACACUGGCAGAAAACCUUUACCAAAGACAUAUCUAACAAAAGACUGGUAUCCAAAAUAUACAAAGACCUCUAAAAACUCAACAAUAAGAAAACAAACAACCCAAUUAAACAAUGGGGAAAAGAUCUGAACAGAUACCUGACCAAAGAAGAUGUAUAGAUGGCAGACAAGCACGUGAAAAGAUGCUCAACAUCCUAUGUCAUAGGGAAAUUCACAUUAAAACAACGAGAUGCCACUCUACAUCUAUUAGAACGGCUAACAUCCAGAGCACUGACAGCACCAAACGCUUCGAGGAUGUGGGGCAGCAGGAGCGCUCACUCACUGCUGGUGCGAAUGGGAAAUGCUGCCGCCGCUCUGGAAGACAGUUUGGCAGUUUCUUACAAGACUGAACAUACUCUUAGCACACGAGCCAGCAAUUGCACUCCUUGGUAUUCACCAAAAUGAACUGAAAACUUUUCGUCCAAGCGAAAACCUGCACAUCGACAUUUAUAGAAGCCUUAUUCAUAAUUGUCCAAACUGGGAAGCAGCCGACGUGUUCAGUGGGUGAAUAGGUAGAUAAACUGUGGUCCCUCCAGACAAUGGAAGACUGUUCAGGGCUAAAAAGGAAAUGCGCUGUCAAGCCGUGAAAAGACAUGCAGAAACUUUAAAUGCAUAUUACUAGGCGAGAGAAGCCAAUCUGAAAAGGCUGAAUACUACGUGAUUCCAACUCCACAACAUUCUGGAAAAGGCAAAACUAUGGAGAAAGUAAAACGAUCGGUGGCUGUCAGGGGUUGGAGGCGGGGGAGGGAUGAACAGACAGAGCGCAGAACUUCUCUGCAGGAGGCCACGUGAUGGAGACGUGUCAGUAUACAUUUGUCCAGACCAACAGAGUGUACAACACCAAGUGUGAACCCCUGUGUAAACUAAGGAAUUCAUGUGAUAAUGAUGUGUCGAUACAGGUUCGAUUGUGACGAACGUACACCCUGACGAGGGCUGUUGAUCGUGGGGAGACUGUGCACACGUGGGGUACGGGGUGUAAGGAAAGCCUCUGCACCUUCUGCUCAGUUUUGCUGUGAACCUAAAACUGCUCUAAAAAAAUAAAGUUGAUAAAAUUAAAAUGAUUCAAAGAGACUUAACACCUCAAGAUCUUUUCAAACAAUACCUAAUGUGGUAAUUUAAAUUUAGAAAAAUAUAUCAUUCCUUUUCUCUGGUUA